GAUGAAGAACGUAGUGAAACGCGAUAAGUAAUGUGAAUUGCAGAAUUUAGUGAAUCAUCGAAUCUUUGAACGCACAUUGCGCCCGCUGGUAUUCCGGCGGGCAUGCCUGUUCGAGCGUCAUUUCAACCCUCAAGCUCUCCGGAGUUUGGUGUUGGGGCGCCUGGGGCUUUUCGACCUCAGGGCCCUCAAGUCCAUCGGCGGGACCGCCAGGACACUGAGCGCAGUAGUAUUAUUUCGCUCGGUAGGAUCUUCCACGGCGGGUCGAUCUGGCCGCUAAACCCCCCAAUUCUCACCAAAGGUUGACCUCGGAUCAGGUAGGAAUACCCGCUGAACUUAAGCAUAUCAAUAAGCGGAGGA
rnacentral:misc_RNA from 1 species